rnacentral:rRNA from 1 species
CUCGAUCGCUGUCCCUCUGACAACCCCUGACCCUGGCACGUACUACCUGAGAUGAUAGAACUACUUCCUUCACUACUUCAACGAAAACGUAGUACGAACAGAGGAUCGGUUCUUGACGAUGAGGUAGUAGCGUCCGAACCGGUAGAUAGAAAACGACGUAAUAAUGCAUAAAUGGGGAGAGAAAAGUUCAACACAGGGUUCCUCGAGGAACAUACACUACGAACACUCAAUCGAUUUGUAUGUUCCCCAAGGAUAGGAUCAUAUCCAAAUUCUUCACGGUUUGGUAAACUUUACUAAGUGAGCCUACAAACCCCUGGGACACUCCAAGCAAGGUAAAGACCCGUGGCUACCAAACACUGAAAAUAACUAACGAAAUCAGCAAUGUGAACCGAAAUAGA